AGAGGGAGGAGUUAAGGAGACAGACAGAGAGAGAGAGAGAUCUGAGGAGAAGAGGGAGAACCAAAAUGGAGGCUGACGUGGUGUUAUCAAAGUGGAGUGACCAGGGCUGACAGGUAUUCUGACAUCUGCUCCCUGAGAGGUGACGUGGGAAGUCCUGCACUGUGAGUCCAUUGAGUAGGACACACCCAGGCCUCUUCUUUUCUCCAGGAUAUGUGCAAGAUGAGAGCCAGCCAUCGUCUCCUGAUAGUGGAGAUUUGAUCUGAAGCAUUCAAAUAGGAAAUGAAUGCUCAGAGGAAGCUUCAAAUUUCUUUCUACUUGAAGAAGCUGAAUUGCAGAAGCUAUCUCUGUCCUGUUAAUCACCGGGUCCACAGUGAAACCAGCCAACUUCAGAGAGUGAGUUAAAAGAGAGACUCUUGUGCUGCGUGACCCCUGACUGUAACCAAGUGUCCUUCUCUCUGAGACGUUCCCUCGGAGCUUGUUCUCACAGCCCUCACCUCCAGUGACCUCCACGAACUUUUCCACACGAGGGGUUCUCUGCUUCCCUCCAUCUGAGCUGCGCAAUUCCACCAGGCCUUUUGCUCCUCUUCAGUCAGGUGCUUUGGAGGUAAUGAAGUCUUUCGGGGGAAAAAUAAACAAAGGAAAUGCACCCGGUUGAUGUCAAUGGACUUGUUUAACUAUUUAAGGCCACUGUCUCCAAGUGUAAGUGUGCUGCGGUGUGUUUUGUAAAGUAGCGCUUAUAAUCCACUGAGCUUUCCAAACAGCCCUCUUGCCUAUUAAGCCUGCAUUGAGAAGUGGGUUUAAUUUGCCAGAGUAGUUUUUUGUGAUAAUUACAGGACUUGCAGAUUAGCUUGAGUGACUUGGCAAGGUUCUGUAGCUAAUAAAAAAUCACACAGGAAAAAAAUUGUAACAUUCAAUUGCUUCAAGGUUCUUCACGAGAGAAACAUUAAACAAACCUGAUAGGCCAGUUUCCAGUCUGUGAAGGGACUUGGAGGCAAGCCGGGAGAGAGGGAGGAGAAAGAGAUCGCCAUGAUGGGGAAGAAGGAAGAGGAGACCUAAAGGCCAGCUGACAUGUGAGAAUCAGGGAAAGUGGCCACACGGGCCACUUCCACAGCUGUGUUUGAGCAGGACUUUGGGUCCCUAACCUGCAACUCAGCACUCAGUCCAUCAUGGGCUUUGCUAGUCUCUGUGACUUCUCCAGGGCAGGAAAGUGACAGGUUUCUGCGCAAGGGAGCCCGAGGUACCUGGUUCAGGAUGGAGAGGGCACUUGAGAGGCGUCAAAAGCAAGCACAGUUAGAGGACAUCAGCGAUGUUAAAACCCCACGAGGGUCAACAGUAGCCCAGGCAAAAUAAAGGAGCCUGAAGUGGAAAAACAGAAAUGGAACAAGACGUUUGUUCUGGAGCACGUGAGAUUGUCCUUCUAAGACAUUUCCAGAAGUAUUCAAAGGAAGAUUUAAUGGGAAAUCAUUAUGCAAAAGAGUCAGUAAUAUAUUUUAGUUUCAAAAAGUACGGAGCGUGACGCCUGUCAAUUAUACCUUCUGCAAAGGUGAGUGGCGGUUGUCCUUGCUGUUCCAAAAUGCAAAGAGAAACAAACAAACAAACAAACAAGCAAACCAGCUACUCCUAUUCCGCACUCCAAACACCAAGCAGAAAUGCUUCUGGGACAAACUGAGCUUCAUUCUUUAUGAAAAUGAAAACACUUCUUUCUGUGCACUAGGAAAAUGUUCUGCCUCUGAGCUGCAAAACCAGCACCAAACUUGAAAAGUUUGUGCAUCAAAGGAAAAAGGCAACCUACAGGAUGGGGGAGAAUAUUUGCAGGACACAUGUCCUGGAAGGAAUACAUAUUUAGACUGAAUAAAAUGAGUAAGAGGAGGGAUAGGGAGUUCGUGUUCAAUGUUGAGAGCUUGGGACAGUUGAGAAAACGCUCCGGAGUGUUCUGCAGAUGAAUGAUGGUGACGACUGCAUCAGUGUGAAUGUCCUUAACGCCGUCAAAAAUUGGUUAUAAUGGCAAAUUUUAUGCUACAUAUGUUUUACUACAAUAAAAAUGCCAGGAAAAUCUAACUGCUCCAAAUCCUGAAUUUAUUAACCCAAUAAAUUAGGAGAUGGUUAUUGACCUAUAAAUGGAUUUGUCAAUUUUUAAAAUGAUUUCCUUUAAAUUGAAUUCUUUCCUAGAGCUUUAUUGUCUCUUCACAAACCAUUAAACACUUGUUAAAGUGUUCAGAGAGGGCUGAGAUGGAGGAGGAAGUGAAAACCAAACAAACAGAUGAGGGACCUUCCCCAAAUGAUGUCUGCUAACAGGCUUCUUGGGUAUUCUAUUUAUAUAGAUUUUACAAGUGUUUUAUUUGAGAGGAAAAAUCCCUAGACCUUACAUAGUACAAUGAACUUCUUAUGCCUGUCAGCUAGAUUUAUUAAUUUUUAACGAGGUGUAUUACUUUUAAAAGCUAUCUAUUUACUAUUGGGGGAGGGAGAAGGACAAAGGACAUCUUGCAGAAGUCUGGUCUCUCCUGCUAUGUGGGUUCUGGAGAUAGGAAAUCAGGCAGGUUGUCAGGCCUAGAAGCAAAGGCCUGUCUGCACUGAGCCAUCUUACUUGUCUUAUUUUGUUACUUUUGAUGACCUAUUUUAGACAUCACUAUUCUAUAGCCCUAAGUAUAACUUCAAGUAUGUAUCUUCCACAAUGACUUUAUGACCAUGAAAUCAAUUCAAGAAAUUUAACAUGUAUGCAGUUCUAUCCAGCGUACAUACAGAUUUCUCAUCCCCCCUUUUACUGUAGUUUAUAGAAAAAGCAAUUCUCUUCCAUAUCUAGAGUUUGACAAGGAAUAUGCAUUGCAUUUGGUUUCUGUGUUCUUUAAUCUCUUGUUGUACAGAACUUCAACCUUUCAUGACAGGUUGAACAAUUUUGGAUCAUACAGGCUGUCAUGGUUUGAAUAUGUUUGGCCCAGGGAGUGGUACUGUUAGGGGUGUGGUCUUCUUGGAAUAGGUGUGUCACCGUGGGCGUGGGCUUUAAGACCCUCAUCCUUAGCUUCUGGAAGUCAGUCUUCCACUAGCAACCUUCAGAUGAAGAUGUAGAACUCUCACCAUCUCCUGCACUAUACCUGCCUGGAUAUCGCCAUGUUCCUGCCUUGAUGAUUAUGGACUGAACCUCUGAACCUGUAAGCCAGCCCCAAUUAAAUUUGUCCUUAUAAGAGUUACCUUGGUCAUGGUGUCUGUUCACAGCAGUAAAACCCUAACUAAGACACAGGCCAAUUACAGAAUGUCUCUUUUUGGUGUGUGCAGUGUUAAAGUUUGAAGCACAAGCCUAAUGCUUGUUAGACAAGCACUCUACCGCUGCUCUACAUCAGCAGCUCAGUGUGCCUCUUGUCUUGAUGGGCUCAUUGUUUUUUAUGACCCAGUGCAUUGGGGUGAGCAGCUCACACAGGUACGAAGGGGUCCCUCUCAGAGCUUAACAUCAGGGAACUCAAUGUUGGUUUGUCUGUUCUAUUUCAGCUGAGCUAGUAUCUGGCAGUUCCCCACAACCCCCAUCAAGUUACCACUUUUUUCUUUGUAAUUGUAAUUUGCAAAGAAAUAUUUGCAAGAUUAAGUAAUAGACUACACAACGUGUUUUAGCUUCCACUGAGCAUUCAGCCUGAACUGUUUUAUAAAGUUAUGAAAUGAUAGAUUUCCAACUUAAUAAUUAUUUUAAAGACUUAUUUUAUUUUUAGUUCUGCAUGUAUGCCUGUGUGUGCACGUGUGUACCUAUGUAUCUGUAUGGUUAUGUGCACAUGAAUGCAGAUGUCCAAGGAGAAGAGGCCAGACACAUUGGAUCCCUGGUGCUCAAGUGGGAGGUGGCUGUCAGCUGCUGUAGGAAGGUGAUGGGAACUCAGCUUGAGUCCUUUGCAAGAACAGCAUGAGCUCUUAAACACAGAGCCACAUCUUCAGUCCCUCUCUUAUUUUUUUAAAAAUUAUUCUCUCUCUGUGUAUGUGUGUGUAUACAGAGGUCAGAGGAUCAUUUUUGUAAAAUUAGUUCUCUCUACCUUUUUUUGUGGGCUCUGGGGACUAAACUCAAGUUGUUGGGAUUUUGUGACAAGUGCUGUAUCCACUGAGCCCUCUCACAUGCCCUUAAAUGUUAUUUUAAAUAAUAGCAAAUGAGUACGUUCAAGCAUACGAGAAUAAGCAUGUCCUAUUGAUUUGAAUAUGCAAAAGUAUGCCAAUUUUUUAAAUCUCUAUUACCAAGUGGACAAGUAUUCCAUUUUAUCUCCAAAAGUAAAGAUUUCUUUUAGAUACAGUCAUGUGGAUUAUACAACUUGACUGAAGCCAUGUCUCCAAGAUACAUACCUAGAGGGUAAAGGGAAUGCUUUAAAGGAGCGUGAUUAUGAAUAUCCAAGCUGAAAAUAAACACUAAUUACUAACAAAAAGGAUUACUGAGAAAAAUAUGGGUUGGUUUUCAGUACUUGACUCUGUAAAGUUAUUUCUUUUCUUAUUUAGUUUUUAUUCAUAAUCAUAAACUUAACUUUGCCAUCCAGCUAGACUUGAAGGGGAAUGAGGAAAAUAUGGAACCCAAAGAACUUGAGCAGAGAUUACAGGGUAUUUCAAGCAGAUGGGGUAGGGAUGCUCUCCUGCGCUACAGAAGGAAUGGUUGGAUGGGUAAAAUGCCUGCAAGUCAAAAGAAAUUAGAGUUAUCCACAGUCGGAAAUGGUCUUGCUGGUCUUUCCAUUCCUGGACCCAAAACACUCCAUGGCUUCCACAAUGUUCAUGCCUUCUUUCACCUUCCCAGACACCACAUGCUUGCCAUCCAGCCACUUAGUCUUGGCAGUGCAGAUAAAAAACUGGGAACCGUUUGUGUUGGUCCAGUAUUUGCCAUGGACAAGAUGCCAGGACCUGUAUGCUUCAGGAUGAAGAUCUCAUCCUCAAAUUUCUCUCCAUAGAUGGAUCUGCCGCCAGUGCCAUUAUGGCAUGUAAAGUCACCACCCUGGCACAUGAAUCCUGGAAUAAUUCUGUGAAAGGAGGAACCCUUCUAGUAAAAUCCUUUCUCUCCAGUGCUCAGAGCAUGAAAGUUUCCCGCUGUCUUUGGAACUUUGUCUGCAAACAGCUGGAAGGAGACUCUUCAAGGGCUCGUCAUCGGCCGUGAUGUCAGAGAACACGGUGGGGUCGACUGUGGCUACAGCAAGAGGACCAACGGUACUGUUGCUCUAGCUACAGGAAUAAUCCUGGGCAGCACUUGUUGACCUUGGUCACUGUCAAGGGAAGAUCGGCUGUUCCCACUGAGGGCAUCUUGAUGGAUUAAGGUGAUCAGCUGAUCAAUGUGAGGGGACAGAUGGGAGCUAGGAACUGUCUCGGUACUGAGUCAUUUUUCAUCUAAUGUGCAAGAAACCCAAAGAGCACAUCAAACAGCGAACUACGCCUAAGCUAUCCAUGUUUCUCCUGCUUCUUCUGAGAGGGUGAUUUACACGUAGCUCAACACUCGAGUGUUGCAGUAUCGAGUGACUGCAACCAAACAAUGGAACAUGCAUCGUGCCUGUUGACAGAGCCUGCAGUUGGCUUGGAACCGGGACCAUGCUGCAUUCGACAUCGUUCCUGGUGGCUGACUUGUUCCCAUAGAAUUAAAUGCUAGGCAUCCAGAAGCUGACUGUGCAUCUGAUGGGCUCACUAACAUUCAGGAACAGGUUGGCCUCAGACUUCAUCAAUGGAAAGUGAGCUGAAGUCUUUCUGUUUACAAAUUUGCCAAUUUCCUUUGAGGAAGCUUGAUCACGGAGCUCUUCUGCAUCAGGUGAUUGAUGCCCUGCAGGUACUUCAAGCAACAUCAUGCAUAUCAAACCUGCCCUCUGCCUGGACUGUUUACAGCUGCCUUUUUGCUAGCUGAACUGCCUGACACUUCGGCUCAAAGACUCAUUUAUCACUGAGGGCGCAUGCCGUUAUCUGAGCACCUUCCGAAGCAUCACACGCCAUCUCUAGACUUCCUGGGAUUGUCUACGGAUACAACACUUGCUCUCAUAAGUUGGUUACAUAAACAUAAAAGAAUGAACUUUAAACUAAAAUUUCUGACUUUUAUCUCUUUGCAGUGUAGGCAUAGGACAAAAAAAAGAGCACGUUUGAAAGACUACAUUUUCAUGAAAUUGGAAAUGCUACAUGCAAGCUGCAGAUGCUGAUUGCAGAGUCAGAAGACAUGGCCGUCAGUGUUAGGACUCUGCCUUAUUCUGCUAUUUCUCCUUGACGACCUACAGUUUGCAUUGUGGGUGGCAUUCAUUAACGAGGGCAGUAAAAACAUGGAGAAAACAUUGCAAGCUCUCCUUCGUGUUUCGCUCACUGGCCAAGUAGCUAACCAACUAGGUGUUCAGGCUCCCAUGUGUCUCAAUAUGAUGUGGCUCCUUCCAGUAGCAACCAUCCUGAGCAGAGACCUUUGUUCUAAUUUAAAAAUUAGACAUGAUAUAGAGCUUACCACACAUUUUUCCCCCUGAAGAUUAAAGAUCUUCAUGAAGGUACUGGCUUAAAAGACAUCAACCCCAAGCCUUUCGAAGGAUAUGCACUUGAGAUUGCCAUACUCGAUGGUGCGUCCAAUUAACUUAGAAAUACCCUUGACAUUUCUCAUCCGUGAAGAGAAGCUUUAGGUGACAGUUUUCAUGGUGUGGGUACUCUCGGUGCCUAAUUUGCUUUUUUUUCUUGUUUUCAAGCCUGAAAGGGAAAUAGCCUUGGCUUUCAGCUCUGGAGCGCGAUGCCCUCCUUACGAGUAUUCAGCUACUGUCUGAACCAUUGUACUUGCCUUCCCCUCCAUACCCCUUUUUCCCCAAAGUCCCGUUGAUAGCUCAUU
rnacentral:lncRNA from 1 species